rnacentral:rRNA from 1 species
AUACAUUUGAUGGCGACCGGCAACGGGUGCGGAAACNACAGAACCCUCCUUCAAGCGGGGCAUAGCCCAGAGAAAUUUGGAUUAAUACCCCAUAAUAUACCGAAGAGGCAUCUCUUUGUUAUUAAAGAAUUUAUUCACUUGAAGAUGGCUGUGCGGCUGAUUAGAUAGUUGGUGAGGUAACGGCUCACCAAGUCUACGAUCUUUAGGGGGCCUGAGAGGGUGAUCCCCCACACUGGUACUGAGACACGGACCAGACUCCUACGGGAGGCAGCAGUGAGGAAUAUUGGACAAUGGGUGAGAGCCUGAUCCAGCCAUCCCGUGUGAAGGACGACUGCCCUAUGGGUUGUAAACUUCUUUUGUAUAGGGAUAAACCUACCCUCGUGAGGGUACUGAAGGUACUAUACGAAUUAACACCGGCUAACUCCGUGCCCACACCGGGUAUACGGAGGGGGUGCAAAGGCGUUUAUUCCCGGGAUUUAUUGGGGUUUUAAAAGGGGGUCCCGUAGGGCGGGAUCCUGUAAAGUCCAGGUGGGUGGAAAGGCUCAACAAGGUUUUAACUUGGUGGAAACUGGCCAUUUGAUUACUGGCAGGGUCUUGAAG